GUUGAUCUCCAUAUUGAACUGUCUUAAUUUUNCUAGUAUGAAAUGAAUCANAAUUUAGCNAUUUUUUCUUCANGUAUUUCCGACAUGCAGCUGGUUCACUUGUUAUAAUUUCAAAGAAUUUGGCACAAUACAUUAAUAUAAACAGGUUAGUUCUCAAUAUCGUGUGUAUGCACUAGGAACCUUAGAAAGUGAAGUAGGGAUGCUUUGAUUCUGGUAUGGGUUCCUUCAUUCAGCAUUUAGGCUGGCAAAGCANGCUUCUGAACCCUAAAAGAGGAGGCUCUGGAUGUUAAUUGAUUGUACUACACAGAAGCAUGUUCCUUGUCUGGCACUAUAGCUAAAAAAGUUACCUAAUUUUCCUUUUAUAUUUAUGUGCUCAUAGGGUUACACUAGACACUCUAAAGUUCUAUUGGCAAAGAUGUAGGUGAAGGUCAAUAAAUAGCUCUUCUCUGUUGUAAUGGAAAAUCUUAUUCUCACUCAUCAAUCACUAUCCAAAUUAAGAGCAUGUGGUUGCUUAUGCCAAGUCUUGGACGUAAAUAGCAAUGGCCUUGCAUGGCUGCCAAAGUCAUUCCCCAAUCCAACCAUAGAGACAAAAUCUGUAAAAUCAUAUCCCUAAAUAUGGAUCCACCUAUUCAUCUAAAAAUAACAAUUACUCACCUCUCAUUCCACUUAAGUCCAUCCUAUCAUACCUCUCUGU
rnacentral:lncRNA from 1 species